UACAGAGGGGGCAAGCGUUGUUCGGAAUUACUGGGCGUAAAGGGCGCGUAGGCGGCCUGUUAAGUCGAACGUGAAAUCCCCGGGCUCAACCUGGGAACUGCAUCCGAAACUGCCUUGCUAGAGUAUGGGAGAGGGAAGUGGAAUUUCCGGUGUAGCGGUGAAAUGCGUAGAUAUCAGGAGGAACACCAAUUGCGAAGGCAGCUCGCUGGAACGUAACUGACGCUGAGACGCGAAAGCGUGGGGAGCAAACAGG
rnacentral:rRNA from 1 species